AUACGGAGGGUGCGAGCGUUAAUCGGAAUUACUGGGCGUAAAGCGCGUGUAGGCGGCUAAGUAAGUCGGAUGUGAAAGCCCUGGGCUCAACCUGGGAAUUGCACUCGAUACUGCUUGGCUAGAGUAUGGUAGAGGGUAGUGGAAUUCCUGGUGUAGCGGUGAAAUGCGUAGAUAUCAGGAGGAACAUCAGUGGCGAAGGCGGCUACCUGGACCAAUACUGACGCUAAGGUGCGAAAGCGUGGGGAGCAAACAGGAUUAGAUACCCCAGUAGUCC
rnacentral:rRNA from 1 species